UACGUAGGGCGCAAGCGUUAUCCGGAAUUAUUGGGCGUAAAGAGCUCGUAGGCGGUUUGUCGCGUCUGCUGUGAAAACCUGAGGCUCAACCUCGGGCUUGCAGUGGGUACGGGCAGACUAGAGUGCGGUAGGGGGUGACUGGAAUUCCUGGUGUAGCGGUGGAAUGCGCAGAUAUCAGGAGGAACACCAAUGGCGAAAGCAGGUACCUGGACUAUUACUGACACUCAGCUGCGAAAGCUAGGGGGAGCAAACAGG
rnacentral:rRNA from 1 species